GAUGAACGCUGGCGGCGUGCCUAAUACAUGCAAGUCGAGCGAACAGACGAGGAGCUUGCUCCUCUGACGUUAGCGGCGGACGGGUGAGUAACACGUGUAUAACCUACCUAUAAGACUGGGAUAACUUCGGGAAACCGGAGCUAAUACCGGAUAAUAUAUUGAACCGCAUGGUUCAAUAGUGAAAGACGGUUUUGCUGUCACUUAUAGAUGGAUCCGCGCCGCAUUAGAUAGUUGGUAAGGUUACGGCUUACCAAGGCAACGAUGCGUAGACGACGUGAGAGGGGGAUAGGCGACCCGGGAGGUGAGACGCGGACAAUACGCCUAAGGGAGGGAGCAGUCGGGAACGGGAGGCAGUAGGCGAAAGUAUGACGGAGUGAGGGGGAGUGAGUGAUGGAGGUCUCCGGAUCGUAAAGAUGUGUUACGAGGGGUGAACAACUGUGGAAGUAAAUAUGCACGUCUUGACGGUACUUAGUCAGAAAGCAACGGCUAACUACGUG
rnacentral:rRNA from 1 species